rnacentral:misc_RNA from 1 species
UUGUUUACACCGCGUACGGUGCAGCGCUUUGGGAAACCUCCAUGCCGAAGGCGACCUUUGGGGAGCUAACUUUUAGCAGUUAUGAAAUUGAAGUCUCUCUUUAGGGUUAAUCGGAUCUUUGUUCAAAAGUGGUGCCAGAGAAUACAACCCGUCAGUCACGUCAGCCUGUUGUCUGGCAUGUCUGGUGUAGUUGGCAGAUCUCCGUUUUUGCUUGUCCAUAAGCCUACAUGUAAGAUCAAAAGUGCGCUUGGACACAUUGGAAGAGUCUUUCCGCGGCCGCAGCAUUCACGUAGUCACAGGCAAUGUGAAAACAACGAUCAAAACUUGAAAACCUUGCUUUUGCUCAACAGAGCAAUCUCCGAUGCUGUCACAAAUGCGCCACCCAUCGAUGACCAUGACCUAUUUUCGAGAAUUUCCCACUUAUUCAUGAAUGCAUCAUUCAACUUCGGCGACCAAAGAUUGUUGCACACAACUGUUGAUGAAGAAGAAGUAGCUAAAUUCAGGAGUCUGGUUCAAUCUUGGUGGGAUGUGAAUGGUGAAUUUCAGGCACUUCAUAGUCUGAAUGAUCUCCGUGUUCCUCUGAUAAGGGAUGGACUAGUCAAACGGAAUGGUUGCCAGUCUCUACUUUCAUCACAACCUCUUGCUGAUACAUUCAUCUUGGAUGUUGGCUGUGGAGGAGGUAUUCUCUCAGAGCCAUUAGCACGACUUGGUGCAACAGUCAUUGGUAUUGAUGCUGCCUCAGAGAACAUACAGGUGGCUCGGGAGCAUGCUUCCCAUGAUCGCCUACUAUGGAAGAGAAUAAAUUACAUCUGUGCAACAGCAGAAGAAUUAUUGAGCACAAAUGGAGAAGCAUUUGAUGCAGUUAUUGCUUCAGAGGUACUUGAGCAUGUCUCUAAUGUUGAGGGCCUUGUUGCAACAUGUUCACAGUUAACUAAGCCGGCUGGAUCCAUCUUCUUCACAACUAUCAACAAGACCUGGCUUUCCUUUGCCUUGGCAAUUGUUGGUGCGGAAGAUAUAGCAGGGGUUGUACCAUCGGGUACUCAUGACUGGAAUAAGUUUAUUCCUCCACAAGAUCUUCAAAGGUUUCUCCAUGCUAUGUUAUGAGCAUUUUAUAUGAACAGCAAUGGCGAUUGCAGCAGAAACAGUGAUCGGAGCAUACUCAUCCUCGAGCACAGCUGGGUACACAAACAGAAGUUUUAUAACCCAUGGUCAGGGUGAAGAGAGUAGCACUUCCAAAUGGACACAGUGCUUCAUGUCUCCUACACAGUGCACACCUACAAUAAUUGGCAAUUGUCAAACAAAGUUGGUUCAUGGUAUGAUAUUCAACCCUGUAACGAAGCGAUGGUUCUGGGGAACUCCUACGACUUGUA